GGUAACUGUUAGGGUAGCAAAAGAAGAGGGAAAAAGGCUAAGAAGUUUUAAGUUCUUCCAUUUAAUAAUGAGUAGCCUGUGACCUUGGACAAGUUAUCCAACAUUUCCUCCUAUGAGAAGCUGGGGUAUAAUAGAGUCAAUCAUUUGGGUUUGGAGGGACCAAAAUUAAUGGCAGUUUUGCACAGUAAAUGUUCAUAGUAAUAGUAACUGUCAUUAUUACUGUGACCUUGACUUAGAAAAAAGCAAACUUUCUGAACUUCAGUUUCUUAUCUGAAAAAAAUGAAGAUAAUGGCACUUCCCUCAUCUGGCUGGAAGAAAGAACUAAUCAGAGCCUGUACUUUUCAGCAGGGACAUGGCUGCUCAGAAUCUAGGCAGUCUCUCCCAAUCUCCCUGGCAGCUUGUUACAAUCAAGUGAAGAAGUUCUACGUGCAAGCAGAAGUGUUACGUGUAACUUCUAGAAUACUCUCUUUCAAAGGCAAUGGGCUGACCCUUCUUUGCCUUCUUUUCUGCUGACUGGCAGGUAGACAAUGGCAGCAGUAGUUUAAGUGAAUGAACCAGGAGGUGGAGAAUCGCAGAGGAGCAGAAAAAAGGAAUUUGGGAGGUCGUACUCUCAGCCCAGGAUGGUUAUCUCUAGUCUUUGUUUACAAAAGAGAGAAAUGAACUCUAACCUUAUUUAAAUCUGCCAUUUUGGAUCCUUCUUGAUUUGUAACCAAACCUAAAUAUUGGACUGGCCAAAACCUUUGUCUGGUAGUUCCAUACCACCCUAUGAAUAUGCAAACAAACUUUUUGAUCAAUCCAAUAAUAAGGUGAUUAAAGAGACUCAAUUCAAAGAGACCCAUCACUUCAUGGCAAAUAGAUGGGGAAACAGUGGAAACAGUGACAGAUUUUAUUUUCUUAGACUCCAAAAUCACUGCAGAUGGUGACUGAAGCCAUGAAAUUAAAAGACGGUUGCUCCUUGAAAGAAAAGCUAUGAUCAACCUAGACAGCAUAUUAAAAAGCAGAGAUAUUACUUUACCAACAAAGGUCCAUCUAGUCAAAGCUAUGGUUUUUCCAGUAGUCAUGUACGGAUGUGAGAGCUGGACUAUAAAGAAAGCUG
ensembl:lncRNA